GAUACAGCAGACGUCAAACUUACAUUUUUUUAAACCAGUUUGAUAUCUUCCCUUUUUCCGUCCAGAAAAUUCACACUUUCAAAUUACCCUAAAGCUGACAGGAGGUAAGUAAGUUAAGCUUCCCAGCAAUCUGUUUUCUCACCCAGAGAUGGCCUCUAUUUUCAAUCAGGAUAAAGUCUUGACUUGGAAGGACCAGUGAUUCGUAACACUGGUUUUGUGACAAAGGAAAUUUCCUGUGAGGAAAGCUCAUAUCUUCCUUAUAAGAUCAGUGCUUACUUUGAUUAAGACAUUAGCAUUAACUUGUGACACAGAAGGCACAAACCGUCCAUCACCACGGGUGGAACACAACGCCACCUGCUGGUCACCAUGCUUUUACAUCCCCUAUAAUUUCCAGGUGGUGUUAAAUUCCAGGGAGGGAUUCUUAGAAAAUCCUACACUGUCAGAGCCAAAAAAGGACUUUAGAAGUCUCCUGGAUGAGUCCCCUCCUUCGCUAGAUGAUUUCUGCUCUCAAGAUAACUCAGAGCGGCAGGGAAACAGACCAGCCUGUGGAAGGUGUGCUGCUUUAGAACUGAGAAGAAAACCAUUUGGUGCUUUAAUUUUGCCCAGAUGGGGGUCUGCUAGUCACAGAAAGGGAUCAGGUCAGGGGAGGGGGCAAGGGGCACCCUGAGUUCCUAACCCAUCACUUCCCAGGGGGUGGAAAGCUGUGCAGAAACAGCUUCCAGUCCCAGCUGGGCAUGUGUUGGCUCUUACACAAUAGAAUUUGAUUUUAUUUUACAUAAAGAACUAGGAGCUAAAACUUGUGAAGUAAAUAUGGGGUUUCUGGGACUAAAGACGAUGAAGAAAUUUCAAGUUAUCAGCAUAAAAGUAGCCCCAAAGUAAAGGCAGUAAUUGUCCCAAUGGCCUUUUCUCCUCACGUCCUCACAGAGAGGAGUAUAAGAGAAAGAAUUCAGCUUCUGGGAGCCGCAAACCUGAAAUCUUGCCUCAGCUCUGCCUUCGAGCCAGGCAACAACCCUGAGGGUCACACCCUUAAUGAUUCUGAAGCCCAGUUCCUUUUUUGUAAAUCCAUGAAUAAGCUCUACCAACUUGACAGGGUUAUUGUGAGUAUCAAGUUAGAUUGAGGGGCAAAGUUAUCUGAAAACUGUGAAGUGAGGUACACAGUUUAGAGGGCGGCCAUUUCAUUUCGGUGGGUCUAUCUGGGCAAGAAGGCAGAUGCUGUGGUCACAGAGAAAAGGGGACGUCCAGGCUGCGCAGCGCUGCCCACGCUGUGACGAAGACCAUUAACACCUGUGAGGGAGGCCCUGGGACACGCCUGCUUCUCCUUGUCCUGGCUGGAAGCUCCCGGUCCACACUGAAAAAGGCACAUUCCCCACCCCAAUGAAUUAUAAAUAUUCAACAAAAGUCCCUGAGAGUUCACUCAGGUAAGACUUCUUCACAAAUCCUUGAUCUUACCAUGAAUUCAGGCUUCUGGGAGUUUGAAACACCCACCAGAACAACACCCCACAUAUAUUUGGUGCUCAAAAAAAAAAAAAAAGUUUUAAUUCCACAAACUUUUACCAGACACCUAUGUGCUAGGCACAGGGGGCACGGCUGAGGACCACCUCUCUGCCUUAGUGCACCUGAAGACGACAGCACUGUCACUUCCCAGGAUGACAAUCAUGCAACGUCCUAACAAGGUUCAAAGGGUUCAAAACAAAACUCCCAUAUUCUGACAAACAUGCGUACACAAACGUGAGUGUGAGUGCUCGUGCAUUCUGACAACAUCCUAAAAAAAGUCCUAGAAAAGGUGGUUUCUUUUUGUUUGUUUGCUCUACCACCAAUAAAGGCUCCAUUUGGAUGCUCCGCCAUGUUUCAUUUCUGCCUGGCUGAGUCAUUUUUGCUCCCAAGCCUCCAGGAUCUUCUCUGGCACCAGAGAGCCAUCAGAAC
rnacentral:lncRNA from 1 species